rnacentral:rRNA from 1 species
AGAGAGAGACAUGCGCGCAUAUCAAUAAGCGGAGGAAAAGAAACUAACAAGGAUUCCCUUAGUAACGGCGAGUGAAGCGGGAAGAGCUCAAAUUUGAAAUCUUCAAGGUUCUACCUUGACGAAUUGUAGUUUAAAGAAGUGUUUUCUGCUGGAAGUUUUGGUAAAAGUUCUUUGGAAUAGGACAUCAUAGAGGGUGAGAAUCCCGUAUUUGACCAUUAUUUUCAGCUUUGUGAUACACUUUCAAAGAGUCGGAUUGUUUGGGAAUGCAGUCCAAAAUGGGUGGUAAAUUUCAUCUAAAGCUAAAUAUUGGCGAGAGACCGAUAGCGAACAAGUACCGUGAGGGAAAGAUGAAAAGAACUUUGAAAAGAGAGUUAAACAGUACGUGAAAUUGUCAAAAGGGAAGCGUUUGACACCAGUGUUGUUUUCUCGAAAAUCAAUUAAAAAUGGCUCGAUUUUGUAUUGUUGAGACCUUAAAAGCUCACUGUACAUUUCUCGUGACUUUUUUAAUGCACUUUUCGUUUAACAAGUCAACAUCAGUUUCUUUUGUUGUAAAAGGGUCAUUGGAAGGUGGCUUUCUUUUCGGAGAAAGUGUUUAUAGCCUUUGGCCUCUGCAAUCGGAGAGACUGAGGUCUGCAGCGUAGACUCUUCGGGGUUAGAUACAUUUGUGCUAAGUUAUAGCUUUUUAUAGACAACUUGUUGACUAUAAUUAGUCUUGUAGCUUACUCGCUUAUGCUAUUUUACCUACGCUUAGGAUGUUGAAGAUGUAGCACAUCAU